rnacentral:rRNA from 1 species
GACGAACGCUGGCGGCGUGCUUAACACAUGCAAGUCGAACGGAAGGGCCCUGCUUUUGUGGGGUGCUCGAGUGGCGAACGGGUGAGUAACACGUGAGUAGCCUGCCCUUGACUUUGGGAUAACUUCAGGAAACUGGGGCUAAUACCGGAUAGGAGCUCCUGCUGCAUGGUGGGGGUUGGAAAGUUUCGGCGGUUGGGGAUGGACUCGCGGCUUAUCAGCUUGUUGGUGGGGUAGUGGCUUACCAAGGCUUUGACGGGUAGCCGGCCUGAGAGGGUGACCGGCCACAUUGGGACUGAGAUACGGCCCAGACUCCUACGGGAGGCAGCAGUGGGGAAUAUUGCACAAUGGGCGGAAGCCUGAUGCAGCAACGCCGCGUGCGGGAUGACGGCCUUCGGGUUGUAAACCGCUUUCGCCUGUGACGAAGCGUGAGUGACGGUAAUGGGUAAAGAAGCACCGGCUAACUACGUG